rnacentral:rRNA from 1 species
UACGAAGGGUGCAAGCGUUACUCGGAAUUACUGGGCGUAAAGCGUGCGUAGGUGGUUUGUUAAGUCUGUUGUGAAAGCCUCGGGCUCAACCUGGGAAUGGCAAUGGAUACUGGCAAGCUAGAGUGCGGUAGAGGGUAGUGGAAUUCCCGGUGUAGCGGUGAAAUGCGUAGAGAUCGGGAGGAACACCAGUGGCGAAGGCGGCUACCUGGACCAGCACUGACACUGAGGCACGAAAGCGUGGGGAGCAAACAGG